GAUGAACGCUGGCGGCGUGCCUAAUACAUGCAAGUCGAGCGAACAGACGAGGAGCUUGCUCCUCUGACGUUAGCGGCGGACGGGUGAGUAACACGUGGAUAACCUACCUAUAAGACUGGGAUAACUUCGGGAAACCGGAGCUAAUACCGGAUAAUAUAUUGAACCGCAUGGUUCAAUAGUGAAAGACGGUUUUGCUGUCACUUAUAGAUGGAUCCGCGCCGCAUUAGCUAGUUGGUAAGGUAACGGCUUACCAAGGCAACGAUGCGUAGCCAACCUGAGAGGGUGGUCGGCCACACUGGAACGGAGACACGGACCAGACUCCUACGGGAGGCAGCAGUAGGGAAUCUUCCGCAAUGGGCGAAAGCCUGACGGAGCAACGCCGCGUGAGUGAUGAAGGUCUUCGGAUCGUAAAACUCUGUUAUUAGGGAAGAACAAAUGUGUAAGUAACUAUGCACGUCUUGACGGUACCUAAUCAGAAAGCCACGGCUAACUACGUG
rnacentral:rRNA from 1 species